CCAGGAAAGCAUUAUUUAAAUUCUCUAAUGAUACAGGGUUAAUGAUCAGAAUAUGAGUACAGUUAAAAAGACACGACGUUCCACACUCUUGUACAAUAGGUGGCGGUAUGCACCUAAAAGUUGUUUGCAAUCCGCCAUUAACUAAGAGAAGAAGAAGAAGAACGAUCAUUAGUGACAGAAUCAUCAGCCAAUCAAAUGUUGACUUUCAAUCAUCAAAGGCAUCACGCCAUCUGGGUCUAGCGACGUGCCCAGUCUUGUCCCCAGGCAGCGUGAAAGAGAAAUUCAUCGCAAGGAAAAUAACAACCGCAGUCACCGGCGCCUACUCCAGAUCUUGUUGCCAAUUUACUCUUUUGCAGACGCAGGAAAACUAACAGAGAAAGGAAGACCUACUGCACCGAAACUGGAUUCGGUAACAAAAGCCAGCAAAGGUUUUGUCCGCCAUUUCAAAUAUGUAUCUAGGAGUGCUAUGAGUGGCUAACAGCUAGCACUGAGCUGAACAAGUUAUUUUGUUGGCUGUGUUUACUUUUUAUAUGAGUAAAGGGGCAUAGAUUGACAGACACACGGACUUUAUCUACAAGUGAAAGCUAUAACCUAGAGAGCAGCAUAUAGUUCCAAUCAAUGGUGGCCCUCUGCAGUGUUAUGGACACUCUCUGGCUCCUCACAAGAUUCAGCUGAUAAGCAGUGCAAGCAGUUUUCAGACUGUUUCCUGUACGGCCAAUGGUGUGAAGACAAGAAAUGCAUCUCUUCUACAAGUAACUGCACUGUGCUUACAGUUGAGCUUGCCUGCCACCUUCGAGGUCCCCUGUACCUCAACCCUCCCCCUGCAAUGCUUUCUGAGCAGCAGCUCUCUAUUUGGAGACCUGGUGUGUGCAAAAAUGGCCAGUCUGUGAAGAACUUUACCAAAUACAGUGUUCGAAGUGAGCAGAUUUGCAGCAAACUGGAGAACUGCAGGAGUUGCUUGCUUAACAUCAACUGUCAGUGGGAGCCAUAACAGCAGGAAUGUCACGCUUUGCCUGCUCAGAACUGUUCAGGUGAUCGUACAUGUGCUCUGUGCGUGGACCCUACAGACACAGGUCAGGGUCAGUGUUUUGAGGGAUCAUACCGUGGACCAAUGAGGAGCCUGAGCAGACAGAGACGAGAGAGGGUAUUGGACACAAGUAUCCAUUCAAGGAAACACUGGGCCAACAUAACCUGCCCAGAUAAACUUCAAAACACACAUGCUCAAAACCUGUAAAUGAUGUUGUGUGUGAAAUCAGUCCAAUCAAACGAACACACACUCCUCUCACUGUAUGUUUCAGCAUGCCAAUGUAACGGGAACAUGACGUGUGUUAAUGGCAGUGUAUGUGAGCAGUGCAAGAAUCUCACAACUGGGACGCAGUGCCAGAUCUGUCUACCUGGUUACUAUAGAGACCCCACAAAUGGAGGGUAAUGCCAAAAUGAGAUACUGUAUGUCUAAAAGUGUGUUUCUGUCUAUUUGUGUGCUUGUUUGUAUCUGCGUUUGAAGGAAUAGUUUCUUUUUUUCCCUAAAUCUGCUCAUUCUUUCAAGCAUGCAUGAUUUAGUCUCAGAGAAACAACAUAUAUUUAGCAGAAUAUCCAGAUGUUGUUUUCCAUACAAUGAAAGUGAAUAAUAAAUAUGGAUGCCAAGCUACAAUCAAAACAGAAGCCACAGGAGGAGUCCGUUUGAACCUGCCAUACAUUCCAAAUAUUUAAACCACAGCUUGAUGUGAAGAACAAAGCAAAAUGUAAAUGCAAAUGUGACGUUUUUCCUGAUAUGUAUCAUUAUUUUGUUCCAUUUGUGUUUGUUCUUAAUUUUGCAAUUUCACUAGACAGAACCUGCCUCUACCAGACUGACUAGAGCGAAGCUAAUAUGUAACAUUUUGUAUAAAUGUAUGCGUUCAUGGGCAAACUUGACUGACCAACAGAUUGCCACUAUAUUUUGUAUUUUUAUUUGAAUGCCAUUCCAGUUUAACCCCUGGUUCUUGCAUAUAUCGUCAUAAAAUGGAGUGUGAAUUCUGUGCAAAUUUGAGGUGGUGCAAGGCAAGCUAAUGAGGGAGUCUUUCCAGUUUAGCCUGGGCAACCUGCUAAAUAACUCCUUUUUAGUGGAAGAAAAAAAAUCAUAUUGGUUUGGAAAGGCUUGAGGCGCGAGUAGAGGAUGCGAGAACUUUCAUUACUUGUUAAACUACCACUUUAAGGUGUACAUGUGGCCACACACUAUUUCAAACUGAAAUCGAUUCAGUAGUUAAUUCAUAAACAGUCUGCAUGCAUCCAGAUGUACCAGAGGAUAUCCCAGUGUCCCCAUCUAAUUUUGUUUUAAUAGUGAUUGUGGCCAUAUUUUAUUACGAGUGCAGUAAUCAACCUGACGCAAAUUGUAUUGAUUUGAUGUGGGCUACUCGUGUUAGCUCUUCACUGUGGCUUUCCUCCCAGUUUCCAAUCGCUGAGUUUAUAUACAAGCUUCAUCACUCAUUGAGAUGAAACUGCGGUGGGAGCGAGAGAAAGAGGAGCAAAGAAGGUGGUGUAAUAACAUCAUUCUCUGUCGGACAGAUGUGCGUUUUCUCAACAUUAUGUGACAUUAAAUCACUCUCAAUCAUUUUCUUAUAUCCUGGACUUGACGGCCGUCCCACCUCCUCAUCUAUACAAGCAGUCCAGUGCUCACAGUGGAGAUUUGAUAGAUGUGCAGCCCUCCACAUCUCUCAAGGAAACACGCUCUGCCUCUUCAUUCCUCCCUGUUGACUAUCACCAUGAUUAAGAGUGCUUUAUUGACUGCGUCUUGGUGUAAAUGUGCACGUGCCUUUAAUGGUCUGAUUGUGGCCACCGCUAAUCCAGCAGUGUCAUUUUUCAAAGUUAUUGAAUGGAGGAGAUUUACCUCGACUCAUACACUAAUACGUUUAAACCACUGAUCUGUGUUAGAUUAGACGAGGAGAGAUGGAGAGCAGGGAAGGCUGGAUGGAUAUCUCUCACUGUGUGUGUGUGUGUGUGUGUGUUUUCUGAAGGAGAAAAGAGACAGGCCAUCAAAGUAAGAUCAGGAUAAAAUAUGAGACAUGGCGGCUGCCCUUGAUGAGAGAGAGAAAACCGUCUGUAAAAGAUAGAGGACAUGUGUCCUUUUCAAAUGGCCCACUUAGUUAGGGGACAACGGCG